rnacentral:rRNA from 1 species
UGGGGAAUAUUGCACAAUGGGCGCAAGCCUGAUGCAGCCAUGCCGCGUGUAUGAAGAAGGCCUUCGGGUUGUAAAGUACUUUCAGCGGGGAGGAAGGGAGUAAAGUUAAUACCUUUGCUCAUUGACGUUACCCGCAGAAGAAGCACCGGCUAACUCCGUGCCAGCAGCCGCGGUAAUACGGAGGGUGCAAGCGUUAAUCGGAAUUACUGGGCGUAAAGCGCACGCAGGCGGUUUGUUAAGUCAGAUGUGAAAUCCCCGGGCUCAACCUGGGAACUGCGUCUGAUACUGGCAAGCUUGAGUCUCGUAGAGGGGGGUAGAAUUCCAGGUGUAGCGGUGAAAUGCGUAGAGAUCUGGAGGAAUACCGGUGGCGAAGGCGGCCCCCUGGACGAAGACUGACGCUCAGGUGCGAAAGCGUGGGGAGCAAACAGG